rnacentral:rRNA from 1 species
UACGGAGGGUGCAAACGUUGCUCGGAAUCAUUGGGCGUAAAGCGCACGUAGGCGGCCGAUUAAGUCGGAUGUGAAAGCCCCGGGCUCAACCCGGGAAGUGCAUACGAAACUGGUCGGCUUGAAUAUGGAAGAGGGUCGCGGAAUUCCCGGUGUAGAGGUGAAAUUCGUAGAUAUCGGGAGGAGCACCAGUGGCGAAGGCGGCGACCUGGGCCAAUAUUGACGCUGAGGUGCGAAAGCGUGGGGAGCAAACAGG